rnacentral:rRNA from 1 species
AUUGAACGCUGGCGGCAGGCCUAACACAUGCAAGUCGAACGGUAACAGGAAGCAGCUUGCUGCUUUGCUGACGAGUGGCGGACGGGUGAGUAAUGUCUGGGAGACUGCCCGAUGGAGGGGGAUAACUACUGGAAACGGUAGCUAAUACCGCAUAACGUCGCAAGACCAAAGAGGGGGACCUUAGGGCCUCUUGCCAUCGGAUGUGCCCAGAUGGGAUUAGCUAGUAGGUGGGGUAACGGCUCACCUAGGCGACGAUCCCUAGCUGGUCUGAGAGGAUGACCAGCCACACUGGAACUGAGACACGGUCCAGACUCCUACGGGAGGCAGCAGUGGGGAAUAUUGCACAAUGGGCGCAAGCCUGAUGCAGCCAUGCCGCGUGUAUGAAGAAGGCCUUCGGGUUGUAAAGUACUUUCAGCGGGGAGGAAGGGAGUAAAGUUAAUACCUUUGCUCAUUGACGUUACCCGCAGAAGAAGCACCGGCUAACUCCGUG